UGAUCCACAAGCAAGAUGCAGCGUUUUAGAUGAGUUAAGAAGAGCAGUUCCGCCUUUUAUCUAUCUCUGUGUUUCUUAUGUUCUUGUGAAUUUAUUUCUCAACUCAUCGUCUCGACUUUAACUCAACUUAACUGUCGCAAUACAGAAGAAAGUUUGAGGACGUGACUCAAACAUGGAGACAGAAAGCCGGCUCGCAACACUCUCUGUACUUCUGUGCGCCGUGUUGUGUCCCUGUGUUUUUACCUUCAGCCCUGAGCAGAUUGACCCUCUGCUGUAUGAGGAGCAGCUGCUGUGGGUGAGCGGAGCCCAGGGGCAGGUGAACACCUACAGGAUCCCCCUCCUCACCUUCACCCCCGAAGGAAGCCUGCUGGCCUUCGCAGAGGCCAGAAAGUCAGGGGCUUCUGAUAUAGGAGCAAAGUUCAUUGCAAUGCGGCGGUCCACUGACAAAGGAGCCACCUGGUCCCCGACUGCCUUUAUUGUCGAUGAUGGAAUACAAGGUGACGGCCUGAACCUGGGCUCCGUGGUGGUGGACGAGGAAGUGGGCUCAGUGAUUCUGGUCUACUCCAUCUGCUUCCACCUCUUCCACUGCCAACCAUCAAGCACCAUGAUGGUGGAGAGCAGGGACGAUGGCCUCAGCUGGAGCCAGCCCAGAAACCUCUCGGUCCAGCUCGGAGUGAAGAACUUCGCUCCGGGGCCGGGCUUCGGCAUCCAGAAACACUUCAACCCAGCUAAGGGGAGGUUGGUGGUGUGUGGCCAUGGGACACUGGAGGGAAAUGGAGUUUUCUGCAUCCUCAGUGAUGACCACGGACGUAACUGGCGCAACGGUGCUGCGCUGAAAAGCAUCCCUUACAACCAGAAGAAGAGAGCACAGGACUUCGACCCUGACGAGUGCCAGCCGGUUGAGAUGACGGACGGCAGCAUCGUCAUCAACGUGCGGAACCAGAACAACUACCACUGUCGGUGUCGCAUUAUUGUACGCAGCCACGACGGUGGAGAGACCCUGCCCAUAGACGAUCUGUUCUUUGACUACGAGCUGGUGGAUCCUGCAGUAGCAGCUGGAGCUCUGCAGAAAGACGGAGUGCUCUUCUUUACCAACCCCUCUAAUAUGCAGCACAGAAUUAAUAUGACGUUACGCUGGUCGCUGAACGAUGGCAAAUCUUGGGAGAAACAAGCUGUGCAGUUAUGGGCGGGGCCCAGCGCCUACUCCAGCAUCACAUCACUGGACACUGGCUCCGUAGAGGACCAGAAGUACAUCUACGUCAUCUACGAGAAGGGCCACAAAGACUGUUACGAGACAGUCUCGUUUGCAAAGAUCCACCUGUAUGGUGGCCGGUAGUGCAUGUGAGAGGGAGAUACAAUGCUGGAGGGAAAGGGAAACAGAAAGCUGAAACUGACUCCUAGGACUUUCUCAGGAAGAAAAUAAAAGACUUUUUAAACUCACUUUAUAAUAUUGAAUAUGGGGCAAUGGGAGGCUCACCACCAUUAAUAUUUAGACGGUUUAUGGUCAGCUUGUGAUAAUCUUAAAUACAAUUUUCUCUUUAUUUUAUUUUUCUCUUCUCUAGAAUUCCCACAUUUAAUGACGUUGCAAGUUUCAUGUCCAUUUUUCUGUGUUUGGAUAUGUUGCCAAGUGUGUGUGUGUGUGUGUUUUCUAAAAAGUUGUUUUUGCACAGCUGCAAUAUUUUGUGGAUUUCCUCUUCCUAGACACAAGUAGACAGAAUAAGAAUAUGACCAAGCAAGGGACAGUUAAAUGUUGAAGAUUAAGUUUCAGACCAAAUACACUAGUUUCCAAGCUACUUGAAGGGUAACUUCUCUAUUUUUCAACCUGGACUCUAUUUUUUGUGUCUCUGGCUUUUGUGUGUUGUGUAAGUGAGGAAUGGGAACAACAUUUUUUUGACACUAUGCACUGUCAAUUUACAUCCACUUAAAGUGCUUGUCUUUGUCACUGGCGGGCUCAGAUUGUUGACAACAUUAUCAAAAGGGUUCCCUUUUAUGAUAGACGUUUUUGUUUGAGAGUAAGAUCCUUUUUGUUUAAACAGAAACAAUGAUUAAAUCGCUAUUGCCAAAACCCACCAGACUCAAAUAAUUUUAUUGUGUAUAGAGCCAGCAUAUUUGCACAUUUAAGAGGUUGAAUCUAGGGCUGAAGCAAGAAAGCUUUUCUAAGUUAUAUUUUAUUUCUGUCAACUUUAAAUUAAGUGCGUUUAAAGCUGAUAAAAUUACUGUUUAUUUAAAUGGAGUCUGGUGGGUUUGGCGAUAGAGAUUUUGGGGCUGCUCCUGGCUAAACAAAAAGGAUCUUACUCUUUAACAAAAAAGUCUAUCUCUGUAUGGAUCAUUUUCAUAAUGUUGUCAGACACUUAAAUUAACAAUCUUAAUCUUAACAAAUUUAAAAAAUUGCUGUCUCCAUUAGUCACUUAGACACAAACAUUUGGGAAAAUAAGGUCAAUACUGAAGUUACUGUCCAGCAGCAAACAGCAACAGCAAAUGAUGAUACCAUACUAAAAGUAUCACAUCACAGUCUUCUGAGAUGACUAAUGACUUUCAGCAGUUUGAAUAUGAUGUUAAUGCAGUGUAGAUUUUAAGCACCUCUGCAUUGAUCACAAAUUCACCUCACUGUCAGAGCCACUGUAUGUUUGACGCUGGGGUGAAAUGAUUCCUAUUUGCUCAGAUAAUGUAAUUUAAGAGUGAAGCAGCCUACUUUCAAUUUUCAUAUGGGUUCACGGUUUUAUAAUUAUAAUUAUUGCCUUUAUUGAAAUAUUAGUGUGCCAUGAAUAUAGGCUGAUUGAAAUGGGUUCUGCUGCCUUUAUAAUACCAGACGUUGUGUGAAAUGAUGUGGAUGGCUUUGAUAUAUUGGGGUUUGAGUGGUUUUAGAAAAAACAAUAGUUAAAAUAGAAAUGAAUUGUGUGUGCGCAUGUGUUUAAUGAAUGUAAGAGUGAAGAGGUGAGAACAUGAUGUAGCCAUAGUAUUUUUAUUUUAUGCACUUGAACAGCAUGUAUUCUGAUAUUUUGUAAUCAGUCUGAAGUUCCCUCAACUCAAAUUUGGUUAUUUUAUUUCCAAAUCAAGUGUCCAUUUAUGCCCUGUAUUAUCAGCAUUGUACACAGGGUUAGAUUGUUUUUAUGCAGGACAUUAUCUGAUCUGUACUAUCUGUAAAAUAAAUCAAUGGUUUCUAACAAUUGUGGGCAAAGCC